AUUGAACGCUGGCGGCAUGCCUUACACAUGCAAGUCGAACGGUAACAGGUCUUCGGAUGCUGACGAGUGGCGAACGGGUGAGUAAUACAUCGGAACGUGCCUAGUAGUGGGGGAUAACUACUCGAAAGAGUGGCUAAUACCGCAUGAGAUCUACGGAUGAAAGCAGGGGAUCGCAAGACCUUGUGCUACUAGAGCGGCCGAUGGCAGAUUAGGUAGUUGGUGGGAUAAAAGCUUACCGAGCCGACGAUCUGUAGCUGGUCUGAGAGGACGAUCAGCCACACUGGGACUGAGACACGGCCCAGACGCCUACGGGAGGCAGCAGUGGGGAAUUUUGGACAAUGGGCGCAAGCCUGAUCCAGCAAUGCCGCGUGCAGGAUGAAGGCCUUCGGGUUGUAAACUGCUUUUGUACGGAACGAAAAGCCCUGGGUUAAUACCCUGGGGUCAUGACGGUACCGUAAGAAUAAGCACCGGCUAACUACGUGCCAGCCGCCGCAGUAA
rnacentral:rRNA from 1 species